rnacentral:snRNA from 1 species
AUCGCUUCUCGGCCUUUUGGCUAAGAUCAAAGUGUAGUAUCAGCAUGAUUGCUGAGUGGGGAACACGCCUUUGCGGUUGUUGGAAAAAAAUACCUAACGACCCACUCCUUGGCUCAAGGCUCACAUGUUUAAAUAUAUAUUCUGUUUUGGACAUAUUACAACUAGGGUUUCAAUUGUGGGUAUUGUUUCACUACCCUUAAUAUUUUACAUCCUCGAG